rnacentral:rRNA from 1 species
AGGAAUUGGCGGGGGAGCACCGCAACGGGAGGAGCGUGCGGUUUAAUUGGAUUCAACACCGGAAAACUCACCAAGGGAGACCAUCACAUGAAAGCCAGGCUAAUGACUUUGCUUGAUUCUUGGAGAAGUGGUGCAUGGCCAUCGUCAGUUCGUACUGUAAAGCGUUCUCUUAAGUGAGAUAACGAACAAGACCCUCACUUAUAAUUGCUACUCGUCUGUCCGCAGACGAGGCACAUUAUCGGGACCGCUGGCGCUAAGUCAGAGGAAGGAGAGGUCAACGGUAGGUCAGUAUGCCCUGAAUCUCUUGGGCUACACGCGCGCUACAAAGGGCGGGACAAUGAGUUCCGACACCGAAAGGUGAAGGCAAUCUCGAAACCCGUCCGUAGUUCGGACUGAGGGUUGUAACUCACCCUCACGAAGCUGGAUUCCGUAGUAAUCGCGAAUCAAAAACUCGCGGUGAAUAUGCCCCUGCUCCUUGCACACACCGC